GGUCUCAAUGACGUGGUUGUUCUAAACAUGUUCAUUUCCACCUUCUGCAAGUUAAUGUGAAUGAUGUGGGAUUGCUCCUAUGCUUGCUAGGGAGGAAAAGGAUAUGAGGUUUUGCCUACAAACAAGGAAAGGUAUAACUGAUAGGUAUGGCUUAAGUUUCUUGAAUGUUGUCUUGCUAGCCAUUAAAUUUUUGAAUUGCGCACUUGACAUGUUGAACUUGUUUCCCCAGAAUUGGUAUAUGGUUUUGCUGUUUUUCUGGGUGUUCGUGUCCAGAAGUUUCAUGUUGAUUUAUUUUAGGUAAAAAAAUAGGAUUUUGUUCGUAUGAUUCAGGAUAGUUUGAGGGUUCAAUACAUAUGAUAAUGAAUUUUAAAAUGAUACAAUUAGGCUUAAGCUGGGGCAUGAAUAUCAGCUUUACCACUUAAUCUCUGCUAGGGAUAAUUACCACUACUAAAAUCAUUUGAAGGUUCUUUAUUAGGACUUCCUAACCAGUUUGGUGUUAACGUUAUAUGAGUUGGCGCUCACAAACUGAUAGUUUUCCAGCUAUAGUUUUUCGAUGUAUUCAUCCUCUUCUUUUUCCAAGUUUGAGGUGUUACUUCCCCAAGAUUCUGUGCCAUUUGAGACUUUCUGAAUGUGUGUGGUUCUAUUAGGAAAUGCCUACAUUGAUGAAUUUUUACAAUUCACAAACAGUUUGGAAUGAUUCAAUUAUUUCGAAGUGUCACUGGACAAGACUUGCAAAUAAGCUGGGGAGAAUUGCUUAGCCUUAGGUUUUAGAUUUUUGGAUGAACCACCCACAGAAUAUAAGUCAGUUGGAAGGAUGAUAAAACAAUAAGGCCUUGUCCCUUGCUAUUACUUAGCGUAGGCCAGCACAUUACUUAACUACGAAAACCAGCGAUUGCAGUAAAUUAAAGCACAAGAUUUUGUCCCUUGCCAAGAACCAACUAAUACUCUCUGUAUAAUGAUUUUUCCCAGUUAAUAUUAUUUUUGAGUAACACUUGCAAAGCUUCCUAGGUUGGGAUAGUGCUACAUAGCCAGGGAAAGUUCUCUUUAAUUCUGUUCUGCGUGUUAGAGGUUAAUUACUUUCUGUAGAUGUAAAGGUUAUUAUGUGCUCUCCUCCUCGUGCACCAUUGUUCUCUCUUCCUGCGUGCCUCGACAGCGUGAUAGACGGUGCAAUCAGUUUACCAGAACUUAUUUGUGCAUCAUUUCCAAUCUGCUUGGAUCAAGAACCUAAAUUGGUUAUUUGAUGAUUUUGUGAUGCUUUCUAAUUGUUCGACCUACAAGCCAGUUGAGCUGGAAGCUCUCGGUGGUGGCUGCAAAUUGUUCUACAUAUAAAUAAAUAUUCGCAUACCAGAAUAUUAUGUUUAUACCUAAAGACAAUGAUUAAUUUAGCAAAGAAGAUGUUUGUUUUUCAUCUGCUCCGCCUACCAUUUAAAUUUCCUUUCUCUGAUUAUAAGCGAUAUGCGUAUAUACUGCUCUAUUAGUCUAUUCUACUGCAAUAUAUUUAAUGGCUGACUACUCUAUUUACUCUUUAUGCCAGUUUUUUUCGUUCAUGUCAAUGGCCUGGCCAUUACUAUAAGGUCCACAUUGUAUUGAUUUUCUCUUCAUGUUUUAUUCAAAGUCGAGAUCGGUGAAUUGUAGCAUUGCACAUAUGUUUACCAAAUCUUGGCAUACCAAAGCUUGAAUUUGCAUGGUAUGCACUCGAACUGUGUUUGGUCCUUUAGGACAAAGCAUAUGAUGGGUAAGGUUAUAUAUAAGAAAUUGAUAGCAUAGUUCAUAGUUCUUUGCUGCUACGGUUGGUUGUUCUUUUUUAUUUAUGGUUGAACAACCUGCAUCUUAACACUACCCUUUAAGGACUUGUAAACUAUAAAAAAUUGUUAAUGUGAUGAAUCAAGCGGUCUUAGCGAAAUGGUUGUAAGCUUGUAGCAGAUUGCAUAUCGGUGUGAUGUGCUUGGUGGUAUUGGAUAGUUUCAUGGAGGAGUAAUGUUUGUAGUUUUUCUACACUUCAGUCAUAGGUAAAUGUUUGUUCCAUGGUUUCAUAUUUGGGCUCUUUGAAUUCUCAUUCAUACAUGUUUUGAUUCUUUAUGUUUCAUUCUAAUUUAUUAAUAAGGUAUUUAAAAAAAUCCAAUUUUGUUGCAACACUUCAUCCCUCAGUUUCGUUCUUCAUUGUCUCGGUCUUGGUUUCAAACAGCUCUUGUCAUUUCCUUUACUCCACUCAACAUCCAGCAGCGACCACCACUAUGGAUGCAUUUAUCUUUGGCCAAAAUUUCCCAUCUUUCUAAUUAAGCUCGUGCUUGCUUGUUAUAUUUCAUGCCAAUCCAUGCGUAUGUUCUAUUGGGUGUUCACUCACACACCAACAAUGCUUUGCGUGUGCUUUUCAGCUUUCACUAAGAGAUGAAUGGUACUAUGCAAGGGAUAGCAGCAGUAGGCCGGGUUGGUCUGGGAUUAAUAGUGUCGGCUGAGAUGUUAUUUGGUGAACUUCAUAUAAGCUUAUUUCCUUUUUGUACUAUUCAACAGUAUGAUAAUCCAACAGAAAAUCACUUGUUUAUAUUCUUCUCCUACAAUUCUAGGAACUGCUUUGUGUGCCUAAUAUUAUCAGAUUUCCCUAUGAUCAUUCAUACAUACCAAAAUUUAAAUGGCAGGACUUAUUAGAGAGAAUUUCUUAUGCAUAUCAAAUUGGUUUUGUGUCAUAUGGGCACUUCAGGUUUGAGUGGAACGUACCUCAUCACAUAUAGUACUAAUAUUUCUUUAUAGAGGUUAAUUUUCUUUUCUUUUUGGUUGUCUCUAUGCGGAAGAUUGAACAACUCUAGGUAGAUGACCACGCUCAAGGUUUGGUGACUUGAUCUAGGUAAUAAACAUUUCAAAGCAUGCUAUCUUCCAUUUGAUUUUAUUUGAAAGUGGUGCUUCUGCAAGCCGUACUACAUGAAAGGAAUUUUAGUUUGUAACCCUGAUAUUGUGAUUGUUCACCAUUUAAUACUCAUUUACUUCGAUUGUUACUGGUUGGCCUACACCCCUUGCAGGGAAGAAACUAAGGGGAAAGCUUGAAGCUAAUAUAUCUACGGAAAUUUGUAUGCACCAAUGUACGGUCAGGGUCCUAAAAAAAAUCACAUGUUGGAUACUUUUUCCAGUAUGACUUCCAUGUGCUUUUUAUCCGUUUAUGUUAUGAAAGGAUUUUUUUAUGAUGGCACGAUGGUUUCGAAUCGUGCUUCAUUUCUAAUGUUACGGUACAUAAUGAGGCGGAGGGCUGAAGUGGGGCCAUGGAUGGGGGAGGCAGAGCUCAACAUGAAGGAGCAGGCGGGGAAGCUACAGAUGAGGAAGUGGUAUGGAGACAGAAGAAUGGCAUCGACAGAGCCGCACGCCGCUUCUGCCGCCAAACCCUAGGGUGACGCCUAUGACCGAGUGCCUUUCCAUGGUAAGUUGCUGGCCGAGCACGAUGUGUUGCUGUUGCUGUUGAUCAAGAGCAAGAGGAGGAGCUAGAGAAGAUAAAUGUUCCCUAUUUCUGUUACAGGUACUUUUGAUUUAUUACCAUGCAAAGGAGAUGUCCUGUGGAUAGAUAUUGCAAUCUGAUGAAAUUACAUUGUAGGAGGAAGAUAAGACAUUCAGGCGAGUUAUUCAAAAUUAUUUUGUUUAGUUGUGGGCCUGCCCACGACCCAUUGGAGAUAGACAUCAAUAGAUUAUAAGCUUAUCGAAUAUGAAA